GGGCGAAAGGGAAUCCGGUUCCUAUUCCGGAACCCGGCAGCGGAACCGUUUAUAAUUCGGGCCCUCGCAAGAGAGUUCGUCGGGGCAACCCAAAAGGACCCGGAGACGCCGUCGGGAGAUCCGGGAAGAGUUUUCUUUUCUGCAUGAGCGUUCGAGUUCCAUGGAAUCCUCUAGCAGGGAGAUAUGGUUUGGAACGCGAAGAGCACGCAGUUGCGGCGGUGUCCGGAUCUUCCCCUCGGACCUUGAAAAUCCGGGAGAGGGCCACGUGGAGGCGUCGCGCCGGUU
rnacentral:rRNA from 1 species